rnacentral:rRNA from 1 species
UGAGUAACACGUAUCCAACCUGCCGACAACACUGGGAUAGCCUUUCGAAAGAAAGAUUAAUACCGGAUGGCAUAGUUUUCCCGCAUGGGAUAAUUAUUAAAGAAUUUCGGUUGUCGAUGGGGAUGCGUUCCAUUAGGCAGUUGGCGGGGUAACGGCCCACCAAACCUACGAUGGAUAGGGGUUCUGAGAGGAAGGUCCCCCACAUUGGAACUGAGACACGGUCCAAACUCCUACGGGAGGCAGCAGUGAGGAAUAUUGGUCAAUGGACGAGAGUCUGAACCAGCCAAGUAGCGUGAAGGAUGACUGCCCUAUGGGUUGUAAACUUCUUUUAUACGGGAAUAAAGUGAGCCACGUGUGGCUUUUUGUAUGUACCGUAUGAAUAAGGAUCGGCUAACUCCGUGCCAGCAGCCGCGGUAAUACGGAGGAUUCGAGCGUUAUCCGGAUUUAUUGGGUUUAAAGGGAGCGUAGGCGGGUUGUUAAGUCAGUUGUGAAAGUUUGCGGCUCAACCGUAAAAUUGCAGUUGAUACUGGCGACCUUGAGUGCAAUAGAGGUAGGCGGAAUUC